rnacentral:rRNA from 1 species
UACGGAGGAUGCGAGCGUUAUCCGGAUUUAUUGGGUUUAAAGGGUGCGUAGGCGGGCUGUUAAGUCAGCGGUCAAAUGUCGGGGCUCAACCCCGGCCUGCCGUUGAAACUGGCGGCCUCGAGUGGGCGAGAAGUAUGCGGAAUGCGUGGUGUAGCGGUGAAAUGCAUAGAGAUCACACAGAACACCGAUUGCGAAGGCAGCUUACAAAUCUAUAUCGGACGCUGAGGCACGAAAGCGUGGGGAGCAAACAGG